CUCGUAGGUGGUUUGUCGCGUUGUUCGUGAAAACUCACAGCUUAACUGUGGGCGUGCAGGCGAUACGGGCAGACUGGAGUACUGCAGGGGAGACUGGAAUUCCUGGUGUAGCGGUGGAAUGCGCAGAUAUCAGGAGGAACACCGGUGGCGAAGGCGGGUCUCUGGGCAGUAACUGACGCUGAGGAGCGAAAGCGUGGGGAGCGAACA
rnacentral:rRNA from 1 species